ACUCCCUACGGGAGGCAGCAGUGGGGAAUAUUGCACAAUGGGGGAAAGACCCCUGAUGCAGCCAUGCCGCGUGUGUGAAGAAGGCCUUCGGGUUGUAAAGCACUUUCAGUAGGGAGGAAGGUAGUGUAGUUAACACCUGCACUAUUUGACGUUACCUACAGAAGAAGCACCGGCUAACUCCGUGCCAGCAGCCGCGGUAAUACGGAGGGUGCGAGCGUUAAUCGGAAUUACUGGGCGUAAAGCGCAUGCAGGCGGCCUGUUAAGUCAGAUGUGAAAGCCCGGGGCUUAACCUCGGAAUUGCAUUUGAAACUGGCAGGCUAGAGUCUUGUAGAGGGGGUAGAAUUUCAGGUGUAGCGGUGAAAGUGCGUAGAGAUCUGAAGGAAUACCAGUGGCGAAGGCGGCCCCCGGACAAAGACUGA
rnacentral:rRNA from 1 species